rnacentral:rRNA from 1 species
UACAGAGGUCUCAAGCGUUGUUCGGAUUCAUUGGGGCGUAAAGGGUGCGUAGGCGGCGCGGUAAGUCGGGUGUGAAAUCUUGGAGCUUAACUCCGAAACUGCAUUCGAUACUGCCGUGCUUGAGGACUGGAGAGGAGACUGGAAUUUACGGUGUAGCGGGUGAAAUGCGUAGAUAUCGUAAGGAAGACCAGUGGCGAAGGCGGGUCUCUGGACAGUUCCUGACGCUGAGGCACGAAGGCCAGGGGAGCAAACGGG